GUAAGCCUCUCAGUUCGGUCUCAUUCGUCGGACAUCUUGAAAACUAAACUAGGGCGGUCAAGCAAUUAGAAAAAUGGCAGGAUCUGUGAUUAAUUAAUCUAAAUUAAUCGCAUACUUAAAUUUUUGCGAGAAAGUAUUUCUAAAUAAUUUAAUUCAAGCUAAUUAUGGCAGAUGAGUGAUUCAAUGAAUAAUAGACAUAAUAGAAUUUAAAGUACAAUGUCUCUUUUAUUUAAAACAUGUUUCAUAUUGCAAUUUCUAUUCCAGGGCUUAACAUUGUCAUUUUAAACCAUGUUUUAAACUUAUACAGCAGAAACCAACAGUUUAAAAUAUAGUGCAAUUUAUAUUCCAGGGCUUAACAUCGUCAUUUUAAACCAUGUUUUAAACUCAUGCAGCAGAAACCAAUAGUUACAAAUAUAGUGCAAUUUAUAUUCCAGGGCUUAACAUUUGACCUCCCUUCCACUUAUUUCUGAAAUAUCCUGAAUGACAGGAAUGAUGCAUUCAAACUAGCAACUUGUGUAGUGGAAUCAUUUGCUUCACUCCUUAGUUCUCCCUCAGCCAGUUGCUAAGAGAAACCAACUUUUCUACAUCCUCCGUGCUCAAGCCCGCCCCCUUCUUUUGUACCAUGUUACCUGCAAGUGAGAAAAGUCUCGCACAUGGGACAGAAGUAGCAGCAACGGCCAGAUAUUUUUGAGCCAGGUCAGACAACUGUUUAUGGGUCCCUGCAUGAGCUGACCAAUUACAAUUACAAUUAGUGCAUUUGGCUGACGCUUUUAUCCAAAGCGACUUACAUCGGUUGAUACACACAUUGACACAUCGACACAUCGACGGCGGAGUCAACCAUGCAAGGCGACAGCCAGCUCGUCAGGAGCAGUUAAGAGUCAAGUGUCUUGCUCAGGGACACAACAACACUCAGCUAGGAGGAGCUGAGGAUCGAACUAAAAACCUUUCGGUUACGAGACAACUGCUCUACCUCCUGAGCUAAGCCGACCGACACCUGACCACCACAGCAGCGGGCAGUCGUCCAUGCUGAUGCUGUGCGCUGCUCUGUAGCAGUUCAGAGCCCUGUUCGGCCCCUCCAUGUCAGCAUCAGAGUCCGAUUCUGAGGCAAAAAGCAGGAGGUUCCUCCUCUUUUUUGCUGGCUCUUCUACGGGCUGUGGGGUAGCUCCACUGGGUUCUUUCUGCAGCAGUCCCUGAAGGCUGUCCCACAGUUCAUCUCUCUCUCCUCUUGGUAGAAACUUUACGUCCUUGAAACGUGGGUCCAGUGCUGAAGCAAUCUUGAGCCAACUGUUGUUGAUAUCGGCUUGUCGUUCGGACAGGUCUUUCUUAAAGGCAGCCUUGAACCUUGCAGCCUUGAGCGAUGCAGGUGGCAGAGCUGGCAACACAAAAGAGCAUGAGACAUAAGGCUCACCUCCGAGUAGCUCAGGCACAUAUCUGCAGAGAGUGAUAAGAAAUGCAUACAGAACAGUAAUUACAUCAGUGUCAUAACAGUAAAUUUAAUUUAAGAAAAAACAAAUGAAUUUUUGAACAUGUUUGCAUCCAUUAGAAAAACAUAUACAAAAUAAAGACGAGGACAAAUAAAUCUAAUUUUAAUAAAACAACUGCUCCCUGUGUCUGUGUGAAAACGCUUUUACCUGCAUGGUUCAUGGAGAGUUUCCAGCCGUUGGAGUUUGUCCAACUCAGAUGAAGUCGACAUGGCUAGCUUGUGCUUUUGUCGGCUAGAGUAGCCUCUUGGUUCUUCAAGAGACGGGAGAUCAUGGGCGCCGUCUGUGCCAACUGUGGUGACCUUUUGUUGUACAUCCCAUGCCUCCGCCACCGACAUAAACUGUUCGGCAUAGGCGUAGUGUCUUGUUUCAGUUUUUAGCAUGGCUAAUGCAAAUGAGUCGUUUCCACUCACUGUGAAUGACGUGUGCAGUAACACCAAGAUAAUUGUGAUUGCUAACUGAAGUCCAAUGAUCCCCAGUCAAGGCAAUAUAUUUAGCUCCCGCCACAACAUUUUCUUUUGUUAUCCUUUCUUUCUGGCGUCAGGAGACGAUACCAUCUGUAAAGUCUCUAAUAAAUCUCUGUAUUCUACAACGGAAACUGGUCUGCAGUCCAUCGCAAUCCAUUUUGCAAGCGAAUUAGUUGGCCGGUCACAGGUAGACUUACUCAUUUCGUGCUUGAACGCCUGGUCGAGUGUGGUUUGACGAGGCUGGCUGCUAGCGCCAGCUUCAGGGUCUGAGGCAGCUCGUACCUGCGAGCUUGCCACCAAAUGUUUCGCGUUUAGAUGAUAUUUAAGGCUUGAUGAACUCCGGUGAUAGGAAAAUUCCUUGCUACAGAUAGUGCAGAUAACGAUGCUCUUAUCUACAGUUCCGUUUGGGAGUUGUUUAAACCUAAAUUUCCCGUUCACGGGGCCGUGCAGCUUCUUCUCGUCUCUCUCCAUGUUGUUUCAACGCAAAUGACGCACCGGGUCAAAGGGCCAGAGAUGCAUACGUGACCACCUGACCUCCAGGGGCGCUCUUGAUUGGAGGAAUUAGAGGGGCUACCGACCAAU
ensembl:lncRNA